AUCCAAUGCAGAUAAAAAUCACUGGUAACCAAGUUCUGAAACAGAAUGGGGACUAAAAUUUGAAAAUCAAAUGGACUUGUUUGAAUAUUUGAAGAGCUUAAUUGUUCUGAUGCUUGAGGAAGUAAGUCUUAGCGCUUGUGUCAGACACUUGCCUUGACACUUGAAACGGAAUAUGUGAAGACCUGUACCUACAGGGAGUAUGCAUACAGAUUCUGAGGGCCUGGCAGAAAGAGGUACUCACUACUCCGCGUUCUACAGUAUAGCUGCCUAAGUAGAUUUUAGACUCCUUUCUCCCUUCUCAAAGAUACUGCCUCAAGCAAGAAAACAGAUUUAAUAGACCAAUGGAAUGAUUCUAAGCCAGAAAAUCUCAUGGGUAUGGAUAGUCUGUGAAACAGAAAAAAAAAAUGUAUUCAAACUUUUUUUCUCCUUGUGUUCUAAGUCAUAGUGUCAGUGUCAGAGGCAUUUGAACCAGAGCAACUCCAUCUUGAACAGGGGCCGGGUAAAAUAAGGCUGAGACGUACUGAGCUGCAUUCCCAGGAGGUUAGAUAUUCUUAGUCAGAGGAUGAGAUAGGAGGUCGGCACAGGUACAGGUCACAAAGACCUUGCUGAUAAAACUGGAUGUGGUAAAGAAGCUGGCCAAAACCCACCAAAACCAAGAUGGCAAUGAAAGAGACCUCUGGUCAUCCUCACUGUUCAUUAUACACUAAUUAUAAUACAUUAGCGUGUUAAAAUACACUCCUACCAGCUCCAUGGCAGUUUACAAAUGCCAUGGCAAUGUCCAAAAGUUACUCCAUAUAGUCUAAAAAGGGAAGGAACCCUCAGGUCUGGGAAAUCCCCUGCCCUUUCCCUGAAAAUUCAUGAAUAAUCCACCCCUUGUUUAGCAUAUAAUCAAGAAAUAACUGUAAGUAUACUCAGUUGAGUAGCUCAGUUGAGCAUACCAGUGCCCUGCCUAAGGAGUAGCCAUUCUUUUAUUCCUUUACUUUCUCGCUUUCACUUUACUUUCUUCCUUACUUGCUUUCACUUUACUCUGUGAACUUGCCCCGAAUUCUUUAAUGCGCGAGGUCCAAGAACCCUCUCUCGGGAUCUGGAUUGGGAUCCCUUUCUGGUAAAAAUAGUAUUGUGCCUGUUUUGUGAAGAGAGAAGGGAUCCAGAAGUGACUGCAUAGAAACAGCAGACAGGACAUCCCCACGGUUGAACUUUAAAUAAGAGUAAAAUGCAAAAGUUAAGUCUCGAAAAAUAAAGUGUUUUGCGCAUGGACUUGAUCAUAGUUUUUGUUACUAUGCCUUGGGUAAAGAGUUUUAAAAGAAUUUCCUUUUUGUCAAUCUUCCCUAAGAUACAGAAAUAGAAGUCUUUAGAGCAGAUGCUGUUUUUUUACUACUAUCAUAAACUAGCAACUGGUUUCAAAUAUGGUUUUUCCACUUCUGCUGUCUUUACAUUGUCAUUCACUUGUUUACUCAACUUUUAACAAACCUUUACAAAAUGCCUAUUCUGUACCAGCUACUAUGCUUGACACUAGGAAUAAAGAUAUAAAAAUCACUUUUUCUGCUCUCAAGGAACACGGUCUAUCAGGAUGGACAAACUAGUAAACACAAAUUAUAAUAUGGUAAAAUAUGUGCUAUGCUACUUCAAAAACAAAGUGCUAUGAAAGUAUGCAGAACAAAGACAAAGAAGUCAGGGAAUGCUUCCCAGAGCAGGUGAUGUAUGAUGUCCACACACUGAAAAACACUGGGUGGUGCUGGAUACCCAAAUGGGGGGCUUAAACUAAGAGACUUGUGGAGAUUUUAUUAAAAAGUGGACAGAUUUAAGAUAUACUACAGAGGUAGACUGGAUCAGAAGCAUCCUCACACUGGAUGUGUGGUUGAGGAAGAGGAUGGUGUCCAGGAUGACUGUUGGAAAUCUGCCUGGUGCAGCUGCAUAUCCAGAUUGUCAGUUACCAAGAUAAAGAAAGCCGAGGGAGGAUGAGUUUGUACAGGGUGCAGGGUGGAAAUCAGUUUAGUUCGAAUGUGCUGAGUCUGAGGUGCUAAUGAGACAGACAGGUGGAGGAGGUGAGUAGCCUGUUUGAAUAUGCACAUAUUAAUUUAAAGUAGAGGGCUUAGGUUGCAAUGAAGAAUUGGGUGUCAUCAGCCUCAGAGUGAUUGGAUGAAAUCACCUAGGGAAAGAUUAAACGGAGAGAAGAGCAAAGCACCUAGGACUGAUCAUAUCAUAAGGAACUUUGGGAUGAUAUGUUGAGUCUACAGUGUAAGCCAAGAAGGAGUGGCCAGUGAGGGUCAGCUGGAUUUGAAGGCCAUGAUUUACAUGUGCAGCAACAAUGGAUUCCCAAAUAUGCCCGCUGCAAGAGACUUAGCUCCCCAAUCAGUCAGGGCAGCAUCAGGUAUGCAGGUGUCUCCUCUGGGUGCUGCGGAAGAGCAGAGUGAGAUGUGCUUUUUGUAGGUGGCAAAUCCCCAAAGAGGAAGGAAGAAAGGACUGGGACAAGCACCUUCAGCUUCUUCCAAGCUUACCAUCCUAUAAGCUACUCCUCUUUCCUGGAAGAGGAGAGUUUCCUGGUGGAGCCGGAAGCUGUAGACCCUUCCACUUGUAACAUCAAAGUAGAGAAAAGAAAUCCCCCUGAUGCCACACAUGCUUUUAAAUAAGAUGCAAUAAACUCUUUGCUUAUGAUCACAACAUAUGCCCUAGUAUUUUCCCGAUAACCUCGGCCAAUAAUUGGUUCUUAUGGCCCAUUCCAAGACACAUUGUUGCUAUGGCCCUUCUUCCCACAUCUAUUUCUCAGGCAGUGUCGCUUCCUUCUAACCCUGAUAUUGCUUUUAGCCUGAAAUAUAAAUUCUGUUUUGUAACUCUAAAUGCU
rnacentral:lncRNA from 10 species